GACGAACGCUGGCGGCGUGCUUAACACAUGCAAGUCGAGCGGAGCGGCGAACGGGCGAGUAACUCGUUAGUAACUGCCCCCCUCUCUGGGAUCACAGUUGGAAACGGCUGCUAAUACCGGAUAGCUGUGUCUGACUCGCGUCCUAUCCGUUUGUGGGUGGGGUAGUGGCCUAACAAGUCGACGACGGGUAGCCGGCCUGAGAGGGCGACCGGCCACUUAGGGCUGAAAAACGGCCCAAACACCGACGGGAGGCAUCAGUGGGGGAUAUUGCACAAUGGGGGAAACACUGAUGGAGCAACGCGCGUGCGGGGUGACGGCCUUCUGGUGGUAAACCGCUUUCAGCCAUGACGCGGUAGUGGCAGAAGAAGCACCGGCUAACUACGUGCCAGCAGCCGCGGUAAUAC
rnacentral:rRNA from 1 species